rnacentral:rRNA from 1 species
UACGAGUGCCCCAAGCGUUAUCCGGAAUUAUUGGGCGUAAAGGGUGUGUAGGUGGUUUUGUUAGUCUUCUGUUAAAUUCUUCGGCUUAACCGGGGGUCUGCAAAAGAAACGGCAAAACUAGAGGAUGCGAGAGGUGUGCGGAACUCAUGGUGUAGGGGUGAAAUCCGUUGAUAUCAUGGGGAACACCGAAAGCGAAGGCAGCACACUGGCGCACUCCUGACACUGAUGUGCGAAAGCCAGGGGAGCGAACGGG